rnacentral:rRNA from 1 species
UCUUGUUUUUCAUAACUCUCAACUGUGCACCUAAGGUAGGAUGCCUCUCCUCCGGGAGGGGGGACCUAUGUCUUCAUAUACAUCUUCGUGUAGAAAGUCUUUGAAUGUUUACUAUCAUCGAGUCGCGACUUCUAGGAGACGCGAUUCUUUGAGAUAAAAGUUAUUACAACUUUCAGCAAUGGAUCUCUUGGCUCUCGCAUCGAUGAAGAACGCAGCGAAAAGCGAUAUGUAAUGUGAAUUGCAGAUCUACAGUGAAUCAUCGAAUCUUUGAACGCACCUUGCGCUCCUCGGUGUUCCGAGGAGCAUGCCUGUUUGAGUGUCAGUAAAUUCUCAACCCCUCUCGAUUAGCUUCUAGAGGGUGCUUGGAUAGUGGAGGUUGCCGGAGACUCGGAUUCGUCCAGGACUCGGGCUCUUCUGAAAUGCAUUGGCUUGCGGUCGACUUUCGACUAUGCUCGACAAGGCUUUCGGCGUGAUAAUGAUCGCCGUUCGCCGAAGCGCAUGACCGAAGGUUCCGUGCCUCUAAUACGUCGACCACGUAUUAUCUCUCCGGAGAGAACAGGGUCUUCCUUAUUGACUUUGACCUCAAAUCAGGUAGGACUACCCGCUGAACUUAA